GUUUUUAAGACAACAUUUAGGGUUUUUCCCGGGUUUGGUACCAAGUCUGGAUAAACUCCUUUCGGUUCUUAAACCGGAGGAAAUUCUCUUUCUGGCUUUCCGCUUCCCGCGGGAUGCGAACAUGUUUAAAUUGCCCCUAAAGAAGAUCAAAGAUAUGAUUAAAGAAGUAAUGGCUAAAGAGGAGGAAAACAGAUACAAGCCUCCGGUGGAAGGUUGUGAAGACCUAAGUAUGACGGAGGAGGAAAGGAAAAAAUUGCUGGAAGCAUUUUCUUUCCUAUGGGAUAAAAAACAAUGAAUUGGAACUAUUGAGUGGUGUAGGUAUCCAUCUUAGCAAAUAGAGAUACCGAGGCCCACCAA